CAACAAAAACCAUGACAACCAAAUACACAACACCAUCAUAAAGUGAGGGAGUAAAAUCCUGCCUAACCCUGGGAGAAAGGAAGGAGACAGGAAGGAGAGCUGCUCAGUGUCAUCUUGUCAGCAUAAAGCCCAGCCCUGUGAUGUAGCUGAUGAGUGAUACAUACAGCCUAGAAAUGCUGAAUAUGAAGAAACAACUCUCUUACUCUGGCUGUAGUCUAGACUGGAAAGAGCUGAAGAGGUCACAGAUACCUGAAACCGAGCAAGAAUCUGCGUUCUUUUUGGUGUUAAUUGUGAUGCCACUGACUCACCAGCUGUUAGAGGAGAAAUAGAAUGCAGAACUCAGGAUGCUGGUUUGAAAUAAGCUUGGGUCAGCAGUGACUGGACAGUUUCACCAUCAAACUCUCAGGCAGACCAGAAAAAUCCCACAGAAGCUUGAGUCUUGGCCAAAAACUCUAAGGUUAGACAGGUAUGGGAAGGGUUUAGAUUUAUAAAGCAAGAGUUAGUAGAGAAUGGGUUCAAAGCUGGUGUCUGCGAUAUUUUUCCCAAGAAGGAGCCAAGUUGUCUCCACAGCUAUCAGUUAACUUGUUCCCCCACCAGUUGACAGUGGAAUAGGAGUGAUAUGCAACCCAUUUCAACCUGGUGAAAUGGAUUCCCCAGUGACCCACAUGCCACAUGUGGCUACAAGUUUGGCAGAAUUGCCUGAUCUGGCCCUGUGCUUUGAAGAGACCUUGUCUGGCCUUUUUCAGCUCAGAGCCCACCAAUACAUCACCUUAACCAAAAGGAAGGAGUCAACAUUCUGAGACACAGCAUGAUACUUCCUCUCAGCACCAGAACAUCUUGUCCCAGUGGUUAAGAGCUCCAUGUAAAGAUGUGCACAACAGAAGCUAUUUACAGUGGUUCUAGAAAAACCUAUGGCCAAUACUGGAUCUUCCUGAGCACAUUAUCUACUGGCACAUUAUCUAUUACAGGGGUCAGCAACCUCUGGCAUGUGGAUUGCCAGGGUAAGCACCCUGGCAAGCCGGGCCAGUUUGUUUACCUGCCGCGUUGGCAGGUUCGGCGGACUGCAGCUACCACUGGCCGCGGUUCACCGUCCCAGGCCAAUGGGGGCGGCAGGAAGCGCCGCGGGCCAAAGGAUGUGCUUGCCGUGGCUUCCUGCCUCCCGCAUUAGAUAACUUAUUUUGAGAGCAUGAAGACUGACAGCUGCUAUAUAAACUUGGGGUAUGAAUAAGAAUAAAGAUUUGUCCAAGGCAAAAUUUCCAUCCCCAUGUGCUUCAGCUGAAAGGCUACAUCUCCUGGGAAGCCUUUUAGUUUGUGUAGGGCCAGCCCCAGUAUUGCCAACCACAGGAGUUCAAAAAUCAUGAGUCAGGCCCCCAGAACUCAUGAGAUGGGCUUAAAAAUUAGGCAGAUGUCAAAGUUUGGGCCUUUUAAUUUGCCUUCUUUUAGGAGUUUAUAUAUUUGAACUUCUCUGCAACCAGGAGGGCUAGAAACUUUUAGUUUUCAUGUAAAAAACAAGUGGUUCUCAUGUAAUUACUGAAGUCCAAAAGCUGUGACUUUAUUGAAAAUACCAAAUAUCACAAGUGUUAGUAACACUGCAAUUCUGACUUCUUUUUUUUUAAAUAAGAAGCUUGCUUGGGUUACUAACAUCCCCCAACCAUUCAUCUGGAAAU